rnacentral:rRNA from 1 species
ACCCUUUAAUGUUUGAUGUUCUAACGUGGACCCGUUACCCGGGUUGCGGACAGUGUCUGGUGGGUAGUUUGACUGGGGCGGUCUCCUCCUAAAGAGUAACGGAGGAGCACGAAGGUUGGCUAAUCCUGGUCGGACAUCAGGAGGUUAGUGCAAUGGCAUAAGCCAGCUUGACUGCGAGCGUGACGGCGCGAGCAGGUGCGAAAGCAGGUCAUAGUGAUCCGGUGGUUCUGAAUGGAAGGGCCAUCGCUCAACGGAUAAAAGGUACUCCGGGGAUAACAGGCUGAUACCGCCCAAGAGUUCAUAUCGACGGCGGUGUUUGGCACCUCGAUGUCGGCUCAUCACAUCCUGGGGCUGAAGUAGGUCCCAAGGGUAUGGCUGUUCGCCAUUUAAAGUGGUACGCGAGCUGGGUUUAGAACGUCGUGAGACAGUUCGGUCCCUAUCUGCCGUGGGCGCUGGAGAACUGAGGGGGGCUGCUCCUAGUACGAGAGGACCGGAGUGGACGCAUCACUGGUGUUCGGGUUGUCAUGCCAAUGGCACUGCCCGGUAGCUAAAUGCGGAAGAGAUAAGUGCUGAAAGCAUCUAAGCACGAAACUUGCCCCGAGAUGAGUUCUCCCUGAGACUUAGAGUCUCCUGAAGGAAC